rnacentral:tRNA from 1 species
GACCUCUUAGCUCAGUGGUAGAGCGUGAGAUUCCAGCCUCCUCAAGGUCGUCCGUUCAAUCCGGGCAGGGGUCA